rnacentral:rRNA from 1 species
AUGGCGCCGUCCCUUCGUCUCGCUGUACUCCUUACCUUUCUGCUCGCCACCUUUUUGGCCAUCGCCCACGCCCAAACUUCCACUAGCCCGCCGCCGCCGUCACCCGUGGUGCCAGAUGGCUGGACUGUCGUGACCAACACGACCGACCUGGCGAUCCAGCAGGUAGGGCAGUUUGCCGUACGCAUCUACGCCCUGAGCACGGGUAAGCUGCGGCUGGGGUUCGUCGACGUCGUCAGCGGCAUGACCCGGCCCUCCAACGGCGGGUUCGACUACCAGCUGGUGAUCACCGUGUCGGAUGGCCCGGCGCCCAGGAACAACCGCCCGUACAACGCGUCGGUCUGGGGCAUACUCGGCACCAUGAGCUGGAAGCUCUGGUCCUUCACCCUUAUGGUGUGA